UUUAGAUAUUCAGUAGAUGAAGUAAAUAGCACCAUUUGUAUGGGAACCAAGCGUGCCGACUUUUUAGCUGUCACUGAGACGUCACGGUCGGCAUUUAGUGAUGGGAAAACCUAAACGAUUCAAAGACACCAAUGCCCCUCCGCCCCGCAACAAUGCAGCCGUCUCUCUCGUACACAUAGAUUUUAUAUCUGUGGGCUCGCUCGCUCACUCCCCGCUCCCCUGCAAACUAUCCCAAAAAUCGAGUAGUAUGACAAAAAGAUUCAAAGAGGGAGGUCACGCUCACGUCACGCUAUUAAGCGGUUUCAUUCUGUCCACGCUUUUGGAUACCUUCGCGUAAUAUUAAUAUCAAGCUAUGGAAACAGCAAAGUCUCAAAAGAAAACCAGGGAGGACAUUUCUGAAGCCAAAAGAAAAGCUAGCCGAAUACGUCAUGAAAAACCAGUUUUUCCUUCCCGUGGCUGCAAUCCAUUUUUCUUUUACGACCGGAUCAUGUGGGAAACUAUAAGAAAGAGUGUUUUUAAACGUUAUACUUAUGUUGUAUAUGAUUAAAAUUAUAAUAUUUUCACCACACCAACUGAUAAAAACUCUUGAUUAUUUGAAAACGGAUAGCAAAAAUUUCAUUUUAUCCACAAGAGUGCAAAGUAUUUAAAAAAAAUGUAACUUGAUGUCAUAAGCUAGCUGGUAGAAUUUACUAAUAUGUAAAUGAUAAUUUAGAAUCAUACAUAUUGAAUAAAUUGAUGGAUUUUAUUUAAGUAAUUUGAUAUUUCAUAGUG